CCUACGGGAGGCAGCAGUGAGGAAUAUUGGUCAAUGGGCUUACGCCUGAACCAGCCAAGUCGCGUGAGGGAAGACUGCCCUAUGGGUCGUAAACCUCUUUUGUCAGGGAGCAAUUGGCGCUACGUGUACCGUCCUCGAGAGUACCUGAAGAAAAAGCAUCGGCUAACUCCGUGCCAGCAGCCGCGGUAAUACGGAGGAUGCGAGCGUUAUCCGGAUUUAUUGGGUUUAAAGGGUGCGUAGGCGGGAUGCCAAGUCAGCGGUAAAAUCGCGGGGCUCAACCCCGCUCGGCCGUUGAAACUGGCGGUCUUGAGUGGGCGAGAAGAAGGCGGAAUGCGUGGUGUAGCGGUGAAAUGCAUAGAUAUCACGCAGAACUCCGAUUGCGAAGGCAGCAUACCGGCGCGCAACUGACGCUGAGGCACGAAAGCGUGGGUAUCGAACAGGAUUAGAUACCCGAGUAGUC
rnacentral:rRNA from 1 species